GAGAGUUCACCGAGCAGCGUCACCCCGUCUCCAUGGCAACCAUCAGACUCCACGCGGCAGCGGGAGGAACGUCAGAGCAGAUCGGAGAGGAGAAAGAACCUCCAGAACCGGGACAAUGUGAACAGUUUCUCCAGACAGAAAACUUUCAGAAGUAUUUCAUGAUUUUAUUCAGAGAGCUUCAACUGUUUCCAUCUUCUGCUGGGACGAGUGUGGACAGAACAUCAGAGGGACUGACUGGUCCGGUUCGAUCUGAGAUCCUCAAGCAGAUUAACGUCUGAACAUGUUUGUAUAAUAAUUCAUACUUCAAGACAUCGCUUGCAGGCCAAGCAGAACAGAAACUGGGCUGGAAAUAAAAUCCGUUUCCGCUCCGACUUUAACGCCACGAAUCUCCUGAAACCGACAUGAAAAGAGAAAAAGGGCUGAGAUACAGCAGGUGACCCGAUGGCAUCCGGCAUCCCGUCCUGACGCCCUGCAGCCUCCGCCUGCACGAAAUAUCCUCUCUGCUCCAUCUUGGCUCAUUUUAACGGGGUUAAAAAAGUUAAUAACACCAAAUGUUCCGUCGCCGCAGCAGUAAAACCAGUUUAUAUACAGCAGAGAAAAUGAGGCCGGUAAUCACUGCCUCCCGAAACCUCAGCAGCUGCAAGCCGAGCCGCGUGAAAGACCUGCAGAGGGCAGAGCUCCACGUCUCCUCAUGUAUGUUUCAGCUUCAGCGUCUCUCCACGCCGCUCAGCCAGACGGGAGGAAGAUGAAGCCGGAAAUGAAAGAUGGCUCUCCGGGGAUGAAGAGGAGCAGAGAAAAGAGCGACGAAGAGUUGGCAGAGAAACACGGAGUGUCAGCUCUGCACUGCAAGAUAAAGGCCACCAACCUUCAGUGAAACGUGUUUAAAGGAGCAGAAUAAAAAGAAAUCAGAAACUGCUGCACCGUUUCAGCUGCUCCAUCUGCCGAUCCAAAGGAACCAAACGUCCAAGCAGCCAUGUUCCUUUCACACCAUCGACGGGUUUUAACUCCAGAGAAACGUUUCGUUUUCUCAUCAGUUUUUCCUCUGAUCAAAGUUAAAAAGUUCCUGAAAACUUUUCCCCCCAGAGACGAACAAAGACUGAAACUCCAGAUCUGGAAAACAACUUCCAAAGUUUUCCAAGACUGCAGCUCGACUGCGCCUGAGGCGAACGGGAGAGGAGAGCCAAGCAAAUGAAGUCCUCUGGAAUUAAUUUACAUUUUUCAGAGUGAAAGACGGCGGCUCCUCCUGAUCAUUAAAACACUUUCAGACGAGCCAAAGAUGGAAAUUCAGAGCAAACCCACAGAAAACCUGAGCAGGACAGACGGACAGACGGACAGAUCCCUGCAGGCCGAAGGGAGAGUCCACAUCUGAAAACAGAGAGGAGGAAGGAGAGUUUGUAUUCCCUUCAACCUUCAUAUUGAAAAUCUUACAAACUUUUAGUUUUUUACUCCUUUGAUUCUAAAUGUCUGAAAUGUUUUACAGUUUAUAAAAUAAUUAGUUUCCAGCUUUAGGAACAUCUAACAGAGAGACUUUAUUUGUCCUGAAGGGAAUCUAAAUGUCGUCAUAACUCAUCUUUAUAGAGUCUCUGAAUAGUGAUGCUGUGGGCUGGAAGCAGCUCCAGUAGCAGUCAGUCACACAGUGACUGUGGAAAAGCCUCUGACUGAAGACUGCUGCUGUGACUCCAUGCUAACAUGCUAACAGCUCAGCGUCAGGCAGCAGAGACGAUGCUCUACAGUAACAUGAGCUGCUAAUCCUCCUCCUUUGCUUUUGCUGCUCCUCUUUAAAUCUCAGGAAGUGGAUCGGAGGGAUGCUGGAGUCGGGGAUGAACUCUGGAUGAACUCUGGAUGAACUCUGGAUGAACUCUGGAUGAACUCUGGAUGAACUCUGGAUGAACUCUGGAAGGUCAUCCAGUGUGUUUACCAAACUCACUAAUUAACAAAAUAAAACUGACA